rnacentral:rRNA from 1 species
CCCUACGGGGGGCAGCAGUGGGGAAUAUUGGACAAUGGGCGCAAGCCUGAUCCAGCAAUGCCGCGUGAGCGAAGAAGGCCUUAGGGUUGUAAAGCUCUUUCGCCCGCGACGAUGAUGACGGUAGCGGGAGAAGAAGCCCCGGCUAAUUCCGUGCCAGCAGCCGCGGUAAUACGGAAGGGGCGAGCGUUGUUCGGAAUCACUGGGCGUAAAGCGCGCGUAGGCGGCCCUGCAAGUGCGGCGUGAAAGUCCUGGGCUCAACCUGGGGACGGCGCUGCGGACUGCUGGGCUGGAGUCCGGAAGAGGGUGGUGGAAUUCCGAGUGUAGAGGUGAAAUUCGUAGAAAUUCGGAGGAACACCGGUGGCGAAGGCGGCCACCUGGUCCGGCACUGACGCUGAAGCGCGAAAGCGUGGGGAGCAAACAGGAUUAGAUACCCCGGUAA